rnacentral:lncRNA from 1 species
AUGUUAUUGCUCUCUUUCAUUCUUUUUCAUUUUUAUUUUCUUUCAUUUUCCGUUUCAUUUUCCAUUCUUUUCUUUUACGUGCUUCUCUCUUUUCAUUCCCCUUCUUUUCCCCUUCACCCCCCUCCCCAGCACUUUAAAGCCCAAGGAGCUCUCCCCCGGGGCCGCCCAGCCCCGCGGCAGCCCCGGUCCGGCCAGCGGGCACCAGCCGCCCGCCGCGGCCCCCCCGCCCGCCGAGCAGAGCCCGCACGCCCUGCGCAAAGUGGCCAAGAAGCUGGCGCCCAUCCCGCCGCGGGCGGCCGCGGGGGAGCAGGGGGGGGGCCAGCCCUCCCCCGCCAGCCUCUCCCCCACCCCCCCCAGCACCCCGUCCCCCUACGGCCCCGCCGCCCCCCCGGGGCCCUGCCUGCCCGCCGGCCAGCCCUCGCCCCCGCCGCCGCCUCCCCCGCCGCCCCCGGCGCUGCCCCCCCCCGCCGCCGCCGCCGCCGCCGCCCCCAAGUCCCGCCCCACCCCCAAACCGCGGCCGCGCCCCGCGCUGCCCCCCCCGCCCCAGCCCCCCCCGGCCGCCGCCGGCCCCCCCCAGCCCCCGGAGCUGCCCCGCCGGGACAACGCGGGCCCCGGGGACGGUGCGCUGGCAGGUCUGCUCCGUUUUGAGGUCCCCUCCCUCCACGUCCCCCCGGAUGCCGCCCUGUGCCGGGACCCGCCGGAGGCACCGCAGAGACUCUCGGGGCUGGGCCCAGCUGCCCGGCAGGAGGAGGAGGAGGAGGAGGAAUCGGAGAGCACAGCCCUAUGACAGUGUCCCUGUCCCCAAGCUCAUCCUUGCAGCACCCAGGGGCCAGCACCAGCCACCGGCACCGAGGGCCACCGGCACGCCAGUUUUGGGUGGCAAAGCGCCCGGUUUGGGGGGCGGUCGCUGUUCUUUAUUUCAUUUUUUUUCGCCUUAUCCAGACUUUGCCUUUCGACCGGGUGCCUGCCCCCCCCACACACCCCGCAGCACCCACGGUCCUGGGGCGAUGCCACCACCUCCAUGCCCCGAGAGUAGGUGCCACUGGCUACCAGCCAGGUGACAACAAGCUCGCCGGCGCUUUGCAGCGGGAUUUCAUUUCUUCGGCUUCUUCCCCCUCCGCUUGUUUGCCGGAGCAGGAUGGGACCUGACCAGCAAUAACCUGGGGACGCACGAUGCGGCUCCCCCGGGCUCUCGGGGUGCUGGCGGGCAAGGGCGCGCAUCCCUCGGCACCCGCUGUCCCCAUGGGUUGGUGGCUUUGGUCGUGCAUGCGAAGACAAAUUAACCUUUUAUCCUUUCCAGAGAGAUAAGAGAGAUUAUAUAUAUAUAUAUCGGCAGAGAUAUAUAUAUAUUAUAUAUUUGUAUAUAUAUAUAGAAAAAAUAUAUAGAGAUUUGUUUUAUUUGGAGCCAUUCCCACCCACCCGGUGCACAGAGGGAGGAUGGAAAUGGCAGCGCUUUGCCCCCCUGCCCCGCUCGCGCCGUGCCCCUCGCCCCAGGCGGGCACCCGGGGGCACCAGCACCCCAAAGCAAUCAAUAAAUCCAUGUGCCACUCGCUGUGAACUGCCCAGCAGCGCUGGCGUUUGGUUACUGCCUGUUGGCACCAGCAGGGCUGUGCCUAGCUGUGGUGGCGGUGGUGGGGGUGUUUGGUGGGGGGAUGUGGGGUUGGAUGAGAUUUGGGGGGUAAAAUGGUGGGGUUGGGUUGGUGCGGGAUGUUGGGGCCCUGGUCCCCUAGGAUGGGGCAGUGCCAGGCAUUGGGUGGUCCCAGCCCACACUGGUGCCCACUGAUGGAUUUAGGACACAUUUGGAAGGUAAUUUGCUAUAAGAAAUGGGCCUUAAUGAGGGUUUGGGUGAUAAAAUGGUU